GAGGUUUUAGGCUGAAAUUAUGGCACCGUUUUACCCAGCAGAGGGCAAUGUUGCCUGCUCUUUGCUGCCUAUUCUAAGAAGAGCUUUGGAGCAAAGCUGGAAAGCUUUUACAUUGGAGGCUUGUGUUGUCAAAAAUAAAUGAGCUUUUGUGUGCAUCCCAGCAGAAUAUCCCCAAGGAGCCAUCCCAACGCUGUGGAAUGAUCCUCCGGAACUGCCAUCAGGCGGAGGCCCGCUAGAGACCACGACCACCGUUCGCUUUUCAGAUUCGCCAGCUUUCCCGCCUUACACUUCCGAUUAUGAGCCAGAGGACACAACACGCCUCCAUCAGCUGGAGAAUGGAAGUGGGUCUCUUGGGCCGGGAGCCAUCGGUGCCAUAGUGAUUGCUGCUCUGCUGGGCACAUCAGUGAUCGUGGCCUUGAUCGUCAUCACUCUGCGAAAGUUUUCUGCCUCCUGAACUCAAUAAAGAUUCUUUCCAUCCCCUAAUUUAUGCUUGU
rnacentral:lncRNA from 1 species